rnacentral:rRNA from 1 species
GAUGAACGCUAGCGACAGGCCUAACACAUGCAAGUCGAGGGGCAACGGGGCGUAGCAAUACGCUGCCGGCGACCGGCGGAUGGGUGAGUAACGCGUAUGCAACCUGCCUUCAGCAGGGGGAUAGCCCGUUGAAAGACGGAUUAAUACCCCAUAACACAGGGGCUCCGCAUGGAGAUUAUUGUUAAAGGGAUGCUUCCUUCGGGGGUAUUCCGGCUGAAGAUGGGCAUGCGUUCCAUUAGGUAGUUGGUUGAGGUAACGGCUCACCAAGCCUGCGAUGGAUAGGGGAACUGAGAGGUUGGUCCCCCACACUGGUACUGAGACACGGACCAGACUCCUACGGGAGGCAGCAGUGAGGAAUCUUGGUCAAUGGACGGAAGUCUGAACCAGCCAUGUCGCGUGAAGGAGGACGGCCCUAAGGGUUGUAAACUUCUUUUGCAGCGGAAUAAAGUAUUCCACGUGAUGGGAUAUUGCAAGUACGCUGCGAAUAAGGAUCGGCUAACUCCG